rnacentral:rRNA from 1 species
UAGAGUUUGAUCAUGGCUCAGGAUGAACGCUAGCGACAGGCUUAACACAUGCAAGUCGAGGGGCAGCGGGGGUGAUGGCUUGCCAUCACCUGCCGGCGACCGGCGCACGGGUGAGUAACACGUAUGCAACCUGCCCGCCACAGGGGGAUAAGCGGAAGAAAUUCCGUCUAAUACCGCGUGACGCGGCACCGGGGCAUCCCGGUGCCGCCAAAGGGAUUACCGGUGGCGGAUGGGCAUGCGGCGCAUUAGCUAGUCGGCGGGGUAACGGCCCACCGAGGCGACGAUGCGUAGGGGUUCUGAGAGGAAGGUCCCCCACACUGGUACUGAGACACGGACCAGACUCCUACGGGAGGCAGCAGUGAGGAAUAUUGGUCAAUGGGCGCGAGCCUGAACCAGCCAAGUCGCGUGAGGGAUGACGGUCCUACGGAUUGUAAACCUCUUUUGCCGGGGAGCAAGCGUGCGUUCGUGAACGCGCGUCGAGAGUACCCGGAGAAAAAGCAUCGGCUAACUCCGUGCCAGCAGCCGCGGUAAUACGGAGGAUGCGAGCGUUAUCCGGAUUUAUUGGGUUUAAAGGGUGCGUAGGCGGGAUGCCAAGUCAGCGGUAAAAAAGCGGUGCUCAACGCCGUCGAGCCGUUGAAACUGGCGUUCUUGAGUGGGCGAGAAGUAUGCGGAAUGCGUGGUGUAGCGGUGAAAUGCAUAGAUAUCACGCAGGACUCCGAUUGCGAAGGCAGCAUACCGGCGCCCUACUGACGCUGAGGCACGAAAGCGUGGGUAUCGAACAGGAUUAGAUACCCUGGUAGUCCACGCAGUAAACGAUGAAUGCUAACUGUCCGGUGCGAGUGAGCGCUGGGCGGUACAGCGAAAGCGUUAAGCAUUCCACCUGGGGAGUACGCCGGCAACGGUGAAACUCAAAGGAAUUGACGGGGGCCCGCACAAGCGGAGGAACAUGUGGUUUAAUUCGAUGAUACGCGAGGAACCUUACCCGGGCUCAAACGCAGGCUGACGGGUCCCGAAAGGGGCCUUUCUUCGGACAUUCUGCGAGGUGCUGCAUGGUUGUCGUCAGCUCGUGCCGUGAGGUGUCGGCUUAAGUGCCAUAACGAGCGCAACCCCUGUCCACAGUUGCCAGCAGGUAAAGCUGGGGACUCUGUGGAGACUGCCGGCGCAAGCUGCGAGGAAGGCGGGGAUGACGUCAAAUCAUCAUGCCCCUUAUGGCCAGGGCUACACACGUGCUACAAUGGCGCAAACAAAGGGAAGCAGAGCUGUGAGGCCGAGCAAAUCUCAAAAACAGCGUCCCAGUUCGGAUUGUAGUCUGCAACUCGACUACAUGAAGCCGGAAUCGCUAGUAAUCGCGAAUCAGAAUGUCGCGGUGAAUACGUUCCCGGGUCUUGUACACACCGCCCGUCACACCAUGGGAGCCGGAAAUGCCCGAAGUCAGUGGCCCAACCGCAAGGAGGGAGCUGCCGAAGGUGGAGCUGGUGACUGGGGUGAAGUCGUAACAAGGUAACCGUAA